ACACUGAAUAUUACUGAAUAUGCAACAACUUUGUAGGCAGUCUGGUUUGAAUCAUUAUAUAGUGCCUGUCUGUAAGGCUGAAGAGAAAAGGUACUGCCAACUAGGUCAUAAAUAACAGUAAUUUGUUGGUAUUGAGAAGUUUUGAUGGGUGCUUCAUGAUAGUUACAAAAUGUGACAUAGCUAAUGUUUCUUGUUUUCUUGCAUAUAUUGAUUUGAACUAAAAAAUUAAUACUUUGACCUUUCCCCUAUGUAAUGCAAUAAUAAGACACAAACAUUUGAAUCUGGCUGAUGCAAGAGUAGAUUUUUAAUGUCCUGUUUUAUAAUUUUCAGAACCGAGGCUUUUCUUGAGUGUUUUCCCUUCUCCCAGUGAAAUAAAGUAUUUUUCUUGACAUUUAAAUGGAAUUUUUGUCCAUGUGGAGAGAAGGGUAGAAAAUUGUUCCUGUGAGAGGAAAAAUGUACUGUAGUGUGCCGUGUUUAAUUGGCCAUGAGAAGUCUCCCAGCUGGUUUCCAGCCUGUGUGUUUGCUGUUUGUUACAUUUCUCAGUCAGUGCAGACCUUACAGUCACUGAGAUAAUCAUCUGCAGAGCAUCCCGGUCAAGACAGAGAUGGCUUACAUCUGUGGUAAGAGAUAAGGGCUGCCUGUGUAUGCACCUAGGUAACCCAUCAUUACUAAACACUCAAGACCUAUUUCCAGACUUUUCUAAACAGGCUUCCAUUUCUCUGUGGCUCUUAGCAGUCCAUUGUAGCCUUUGAAGAAUUUCCUGUGUUCAGCUGAAAUGGUGUUUUUCAGGCAGUUCUUGUGUUGUCAGCGUGGGAUUGGUGGCCCUCUGUUGUGCUGCAGCGGUGUAAAUCGAAAUUAGGGAUCCCUAAUUUAGGUUGAAGGUGCUUUGAAGAAGAAGCAGACUCAAAAUCCGCUGCUGGCAGGUCCUCUGUAAUAUCCUAAAUAUUAGUAAAAGUAAAAGCAGGCUGUCCUCUGAGAAGUUCCCCUGGUUUCCAAAGCUGCAUGAGAAGAAGAAGAAAAAUAAAUCCAAAAACUAAUUGUGAAUUUAAUAAAUUUGCAGUUGUUUCUUCCCUUU